CCAGCUCCAAUAGCGUAUAUUAAAGUUGUUGCAGUUAAAAAGCUCGUAGUUGAAUUUCUGAUUAUGGGUGCAUUGUUUUCGAUGUACUCGUAGUCAUCCACAUGAGAACCUUUCUCGGCCUUCACUGCGUCGGUUGGGGGAUCAUGUACUUUACUUUGAAAAAAUCAGAGUGUUUCAGGCAGGCGUUUGCAUGAAUACACAAGCAUGGAAUAAUGGAAUAGGACUAGGGUCCAUUUUAUUGGUUAUUGGACCAUAGUAAUGAUUAAUAGGGACAGUUGGGGGCAUUAGUAUUUAAUUGUCAGAGGUGAAAUUCUUGGAUUUAUUAAAGACUAACUUAUGCGAAAGCAUUUGCCAAGGAUGUUUUCA
rnacentral:rRNA from 1 species